GACGAACGCUGGCGGCGUGCUUAACACAUGCAAGUCGAGCGGUAAGGCCCUUUCGGGGGUACACGAGCGGCGAACGGGUGAGUAACACGUGGGUGACCUGCCCUUAGCUCUGGGAUAAGCCUGGGAAGCUGGGUCUAAUACCGGAUAUGACUCCAUGACGCAUGUUGUGGGGUGGAAAGCCUUGUGCGGCUAGGGAUGGGUCCCGCGGCCUAUCAGCCUGUUGGUGGGGUGANGGCCUACCAAGGCGACGACGGGUAGCCGGCCUGAGAGGGCGACCGGCCACACUGGGACUGAGACACGGCCCAGACUCCUACGGGAGGCAGCAGUGGGGAAUCUUGCACAAUGGGCGAAAGCCUGACGCAGCGACGCCGCGU
rnacentral:rRNA from 1 species